rnacentral:rRNA from 1 species
CCUACGGGUGGCAGCAGUGGGGAAUAUUGCACAAUGGGCGAAAGCCUGAUGCAGCAACGCCGCGUGAGCGAUGAAGGUCUUCGGGUCGUAAAGCUCUGUCCUAAGGGAAGAAUAUUGACGGUACCUUAGGAGGCAGCCCCGGCUAACUACGUGCCAGCAGCCGCGGUAAUACGUAGGGGGCUAGCGUUAUCCGGAAUUACUGGGCGUAAAGGGUGCGUAGGCGGCCCUUCAAGUCAGAGGUGAAAGGCUACGGCUCAACCGUAGUAAGCCUUUGAAAAUGUAGGGCUUGAGUGCAGGAGAGGAGAGUGGAAGUCCCAGUGGAGCGGUGAAAUGGGUAGAUAUGGGGAGGAACACCAGUUGCGAAGGCGGCUCUCUGGAGUGUAACUGACGCUGAGGCACGAAAGCGGGGGGAGCGAACAGGAUUAGAUACCCCAGUAGUC